rnacentral:lncRNA from 1 species
UAGGAUGUGCUGGCAGGACUACCAAAGAUCAACAAGAACCCAGAAACAUUCUCAAGCAGAUGGGAGGAUACACAGCCACGAGGUCAGUCAUAUUUUUGGUUUCAGUUUUGGUUUAUGGAUCUCGUGUUAGGAGAAUCAAAGGAAAGAAGCAACUCUUUCCGCCCACAGGUGCCAUCCCCGUGCUUUAACAAAACCACCAUUUUGGACCACAGAUGUCUCAAGAGUUCUUUCGUGGCCGUCGGCUCCGGACCCCACCGACAUUCCAAAACUACAUCAUUGAGGAACAGGAUGCCCAUCACUUCUCCUGUGGGCCACGUGCAGAUAGAAGCAGAGUUUGAGGUGAUACAGUUGCAAGCCAAAAAUGCCAUGGAUUGCUGACCAGAAACAAAGAGAAAGGCAAGGAAGAAUCCUCCUCUAGAGCCUUCAGAGAGAGGAUGGCCCUGCCAACACCUUCAUUUCAGACUUCAAACCUCCGGAAUGGGAAA